UAGGGAAUCUUCCGCAAUGGGCGAAAGCCUGACGGAGCAACGCCGCGUGAGUGAUGAAGGUCUUCGGAUCGUAAAACUCUGUUAUUAGGGAAGAACAAAUGUGUAAGUAACUAUGCACGUCUUGACGGUACCUAAUCAGAAAGCCACGGCUAACUACGUGCCAGCAGCCGCGGUAAUACGUAGGUGGCAAGCGUUAUCCGGAAUUAUUGGGCGUAAAGCGCGCGUAGGCGGUUUUUUAAGUCUGAUGUGAAAGCCCACGGCUCAACCGUUGAGGGUCAUUGGAAACUGGAAAACUUGAGUGCAGAAGAGGAAAGUGGAAUUCCAUGUGUAGCGGUGAAAUGCGCAGAGAUAUGGAGAAACACCAGUGGCGAAGGCGACUUUCUGGUCUGUAACUGACGCUGAUGUGCGAAAGCGUGGGGAUCAAACAGG
rnacentral:rRNA from 1 species